UCUCUUUCUCUAUCUCUCUCUCCCGCUGCUUCCUUGGUUUAGUGUUGCCUGUGUUGUGCCCGAAAGCAGUGUUGUAGAUUUUAUUGCGCUGUGCCCGUAAUCAUUGAGUGACCACCCUGUGCGUGUGUUGCCGCGUCAGGAAGGGAGUGUUGCGUCUCCAGGAGGGUCUUCCCCUUCCGAGUUGCGUCUGCGCUUGCUUCCUUCGUCAGGCACCUCCCGCCUCACGCCUUGCUUCCUCCCGUCUCCCAGAGUCUACACACCUGCACUCUUGAGAUUUGCAUCAACCAGCAGCAGCAGCAGCAGCAGCAUGUCAGUAUUAGCAGGAGUAGUGAAUGGUCACUCGUAUGUGGUGACUACUUGGACUAUCAGGCCGCCCUUGUAGUGUGCUGGACUAUUGGUCAACAAGGAGCCCUGAAAGUUACGUGGUACAACUAUUUCGGCGAUAGUAAUGGCUGUAAGUAGUAGUAGUAGUUGUAGUAAUAGUAGUAGUAAUAGUAGUUAUGCGUGUAAUGUCAAUAUGGUCCAUUUUGUAACUGUAAUUGGAAAAAUUCUCGACUUUAUGUUUCUUAAAGGCGUGACGUAAUUAGAGAAAACGUAUGUAUUUUAAGGGACACUAGCCUGUACUUCAUUAUUCCUGUUUAUUGCUAUUAUAGGAGUUUCUUGAUAGUUUUACUUGUAUAUACUAUUUAAAUCUACUAUUCAAUUUAUUAUGUGUAAGUGGGAGAUGUCAGAGAAAGAGCCAUAUUUAUAAUUUUCAUUUGUAAGGUCAAUAAGGUCCAUUUUAUUAAGUAAAUUUAUAAGAUGCUCGACCUUAUGUUUCUUAAAUGAGUGACGUAAUUAGAGAAAACGUGUGUCUUUUAAGGAACACUAACCUAUACUUCAUUAAUGUGGUUAUUGUUGUUAUACGAGUUUUCCGGUGUAUAUACUAUUUAAAUCUACUAUUUUGUGUUGUAUAAUACUAUGUUUGAAUGGUAAAACUAAGAGAAAGAGUCAUAUUUGUAAUGUUUACAUGUAAGGUCAAUAUGGUCUAGUCUGUAACUGUAAUUUGAAGGAUUUUCAACCUUUUGUUUCUUAGUA